rnacentral:rRNA from 1 species
UUUUGACCUCAUAUCAAGUAAGAUCACCCGCUGAACUUAAGCAUAUCAAUAAGCGGAGGAAAAGAAACCAACAGGGAUUCCCUUAGUAACGGCGAGUGAACCGGGAAAAGCUCAAAUUUGAAAUCUGCCAACAGGCCGAGUUGUAAUUUGUAGAUGGCUACACUGCAUAAUAGUAGAUGCUCAAGUUCUUUGGAAAAAGACAUCAUGGAGGGUGACAAUCCCGUGAGGCAUGUUACUAGGAGCAUAUAGUGGGCUUUCUAAGAGUCGAGUUGUUUGGGAAUGCA